AGAGUUUGAUCCUGGCUCAGAUUGAACGCUGGCGGCAUGCUUUACACAUGCAAGUCGAACGGCAGCACGGGCUUCGGCCUGGUGGCGAGUGGCGAACGGGUGAGUAAUGCAUCGGAACGUGCCCAUUUGUGGGGGAUAACGCGGCGAAAGUCGCGCUAAUACCGCAUACGCCCUGAGGGGGAAAGCGGGGGAUUCUUCGGAACCUCGCGCAAUUGGAGCGGCCGAUGUCAGAUUAGCUAGUUGGUAGGGUAAAGGCCUACCAAGGCGACGAUCUGUAGCGGGUCUGAGAGGAUGAUCCGCCACACUGGGACUGAGACACGGCCCAGACUCCUACGGGAGGCAGCAGUGGGGAAUUUUGGACAAUGGGGGCAACCCUGAUCCAGCCAUGCCGCGUGAGUGAAGAAGGCCUUCGGGUUGUAAAGCUCUUUCGGCCGGGAAGAAAUCGGCGACUCUAACAUAGUCGCUGGAUGACGGUACCGGACUAAGAAGCACCGGCUAACUACGUGCCAGCAGCCGCGGUAAUACGUAGGGUGCGAGCGUUAAUCGGAAUUACUGGGCGUAAAGCGUGCGCAGGCGGUUUUGUAAGACAGAUGUGAAAUCCCCGGGCUUAACCUGGGAACUGCGUUUGUGACUGCAAGGCUAGAGUACGGCAGAGGGGGGUGGAAUUCCUGGUGUAGCAGUGAAAUGCGUAGAUAUCAGG
rnacentral:rRNA from 1 species